rnacentral:rRNA from 1 species
GGUUAAGCGACUAAGCGUACACGGUGGAUGCCCUGGCAGUCAGAGGCGAUGAAGGACGUGCUAAUCUGCGAAAAGCGCCGGCGAGGUGAUAUGAACCCUUGACCCGGCGAUGUCCGAAUGGGGAAACCCAGUGUGUUUCGACACACUAUCGUUAACUGAAUACAUAGGUUAACGAGGCGAACCGGGGGAACUGAAACAUCUAAGUACCCCGAGGAAAAGAAAUCAACCGAGAUUCCCCCAGUAGCGGCGAGCGAACGGGGAGCAGCCCGGAGUCUGAAUCAGCUUGUGUGUUAGUGGAACGGUCUGGAAAGUCCGACGGUACAGGGUGAUAGUCCCGUACACGAAAACACACUUGCUGUGAACUCGAAGAGUAGGGCGGGACACGUGGUAUCCUGUCUGAAUAUGGGGGGACCAUCCUCCAAGGCUAAAUACUCCUGACUGACCGAUAGUGAACCAGUACCGUGAGGGAAAGGCGAAAAGAACCCCGGCGAGGGGAGUGAAAAAGAACCUGAAACCGUGUACGUACAAGCAGUGGGAGCACCUUCGGGUGUGACUGCGUACCUUUUGUAUAAUGGGUCAGCGACUUAUAUUCUGUAGCAAGGUUAACCGUAUAGGGGAGCCGAAGGGAAACCGAGUCUUAACUGGGCGUUAAGUUGCAGGGUAUAGACCCGAAACCCGGUGAUCUAGCCAUGGGCAGGUUGAAGGUUGGGUAACACUAACUGGAGGACCGAACCGACUAAUGUUGAAAAAUUAGCGGAUGACCUGUGGCUGGGGGUGAAAGGCCAAUCAAACCGGGAGAUAGCUGGUUCUCCCCGAAAGCUAUUUAGGUAGCGCCUCGUGAACUCAUCUUCGGGGGUAGAGCACUGUUUCGGCUAGGGGGCCAUCCCGGCUUACCAACCCGAUGCAAACUACGAAUACCGAAGAAUGUUAUCACGGGAGACACACGGCGGGUGCUAACGUCCGUCGUGAAGAGGGAAACAACCCAGACCGCCAGCUAAGGUCCCAAAGUCAUGGUUAAGUGGGAAACGAUGUGGGAAGGCACAGACAGCCAGGAUGUUGGCUUAGAAGCAGCCAUCAUUUAAAGAAAGCGUAAUAGCUCACUGGUCGAGUCGGCCUGCGCGGAAGAUGUAACGGGGCUAAACCAUGCACCGAAGCUGCGGCAGCGACACUAUGUGUUGUUGGGUAGGGGAGCGUUCUGUAAGCCGUUGAAGGUGUGCUGUGAGGCAUGCUGGAGGUAUCAGAAGUGCGAAUGCUGACAUAAGUAACGAUAAAGCGGGUGAAAAGCCCGCUCGCCGGAAGACCAAGGGUUCCUGUCCAACGUUAAUCGGGGCAGGGUGAGUCGACCCCUAAGGCGAGGCCGAAAGGCGUAGUCGAUGGGAAACAGGUUAAUAUUCCUGUACUUGGUGUUACUGCGAAGGGGGGACGGAGAAGGCUAUGUCAGCCGGGCGACGGUUGUCCCGGUUUAAGCAUGUAGGCGGAGGUUCCAGGUAAAUCCGGUACCUUUUAACGCUGAGGUGUGAUGACGAGGCACUACGGUGCUGAAGUGAUAAAUGCCCUGCUUCCAGGAAAAGCCUCUAAGCAUCAGGUAACACGAAAUCGUACCCCAAACCGACACAGGUGGUCAGGUAGAGAAUACCAAGGCGCUUGAGAGAACUCGGGUGAAGGAACUAGGCAAAAUGGUGCCGUAACUUCGGGAGAAGGCACGCUGAUAGGUAGGUGAAGCCCCUGCGGGCGGAGCUGAAAUCAGUCGAAGAUACCAGCUGGCUGCAACUGUUUAUUAAAAACACAGCACUGUGCAAACACGAAAGUGGACGUAUACGGUGUGACGCCUGCCCGGUGCCGGAAGGUUAAUUGAUGGGGUUAGCGGCAACGCGAAGCUCUUGAUCGAAGCCCCGGUAAACGGCGGCCGUAACUAUAACGGUCCUAAGGUAGCGAAAUUCCUUGUCGGGUAAGUUCCGACCUGCACGAAUGGCGUAAUGAUGGCCAGGCUGUCUCCACCCGAGACUCAGUGAAAUUGAACUCGCUGUGAAGAUGCAGUGUACCCGCGGCAAGACGGAAAGACCCCGUGAACCUUUACUAUAGCUUGACACUGAACACUGGUCCUUGAUGUGUAGGAUAGGUGGGAGGCUUUGAAGCGUGGACGCCAGUCUGCGUGGAGCCGUCCUUGAAAUACCACCCUUUAAUGGCUGGUGUUCUAACGUAGACCCGUGAUCCGGGUUGCGGACAGUGUCUGGUGGGUAGUUUGACUGGGGCGGUCUCCUCCCAAAGAGUAACGGAGGAGCACGAAGGUUGGCUAAUCCUGGUCGGACAUCAGGAGGUUAGUGCAAUGGCAUAAGCCAGCUUGACUGCGAGCGUGACGGCGCGAGCAGGUGCGAAAGCAGGUCAUAGUGAUCCGGUGGUUCUGAAUGGAAGGGCCAUCGCUCAACGGAUAAAAGGUACUCCGGGGAUAACAGGCUGAUACCGCCCAAGAGUUCAUAUCGACGGCGGUGUUUGGCACCUCGAUGUCGGCUCAUCACAUCCUGGGGCUGAAGUAGGUCCCAAGGGUAUGGCUGUUCGCCAUUUAAAGUGGUACGCGAGCUGGGUUUAGAACGUCGUGAGACAGUUCGGUCCCUAUCUGCCGUGGGCGCUGGAGAAUUGAGGGGGGCUGCUCCUAGUACGAGAGGACCGGAGUGGACGCAUCACUGGUGUUCGGGUUGUCAUGCCAAUGGCACUGCCCGGUAGCUAAAUGCGGAAGAGAUAAGUGCUGAAAGCAUCUAAGCACGAAACUUGCCCCGAGAUGAGUUCUCCCUGAGACUUUAAGUCUCCUGAAGGAACGUUGAAGACGACGACGUUGAUAGGUCGGGUGUGUAAGCGCAGCGAUGCGUUGAGCUAACCGAUACUAAUGAACCGUGAGGCUUAACCUU